ensembl:lncRNA
UUGAAGGAGCCAUGGGAGAAUGCGUUUACAUUUUUAUUAAAUAUCUGGGAUUAAAUGACGGAUUUCUUACACUGAGAAAUGUACGACAUUUGCGGCAGAGGGAAAAAGUAAUACAUUGGAUAAUAAUGUUAUCAGGUUAAUUGUAUCUAAGGGAAGCAUUGGAUAAUAAUGUUAUCAGGUUAAUUGUAUCUAAGGGUAGCAUUGGAUAAUAAUGUUAUCAGGUUAAUUGUAUCUAAGGGAAGCAUGUUCAUUUAAGUAAACAUAUACAUUGACGUUGUUUAAAACUUAUGAUUAAUGAUUUGAGUUAAAGGGGAAUCAUCAUUAGGUUUAGUUUAUAGUUCACUUUUGAGUUUCUGAAUCGAAGUAGAAAAUUGA